rnacentral:rRNA from 1 species
AUGGCAACUUCACGAGGUCAUCCACCAAAGCCUGGCAAGAGUAUUGGACAGGAGUUUGUUGAUCAUCGACUCCUCAGCCGAAUAGGACAUUAUCCUGAUUCAAAAGAUUUGCCAAGACAGUUGGACAUGGUGGCAUACUUCAAGGAUGAUCCUCCUUGUCAGAAAACUCACUGCACUGAUGUGGCGGUUGAGCAGUACAACGCACAACAGCAGAGUGAUGAUAAGAAGGUAACGCGUGCAGUUGGAGUUGACAGCAACAUGUUUAUAUUGGACCAGAAUGACCCGUUGAGCUAUUGGCACGUGUACUUUAAAGCUUAUGUGGGGAGAAACCGGUACAGGUGUUUUGCCGAGUUGAGUGGGGAAAAAGGACCCGAAUUGCUCAGACAUUGCACUGCCGUGAAUAAAGCUUCUGUUGUGGCGUGCAGUAACUGCUUUGGAGGAAUAUACCACCCUCCCGGAGUAGAUUUCAAUGGUUCACCACGUCUUCCACCUCCAAACUUAUAG